rfam:Pseudomonas syringae pv. tomato str. DC3000, complete genome.
CUACUCUCCGCCCGUCGCUGCCCAUCAGCGAUCGGGUUUAGUAGCCCGCAGU